CCAACGGCCCUCUUUAGGGCCACAAAUAUGAAAAUCCACAUGUUGU
rnacentral:ncRNA from 14 species